rnacentral:rRNA from 1 species
CCCUUAGAUGUUCUGGGCCGCAUGCGCGCUACACUGAUGCAUUCAACGAGUUUCUUCCUGGUCCGAGAGGAAUGGGUAACCUUUUGAAAGUGCAUCGUGAUAGGGAUAGACUAUUGCAAUUAUUGGUCUUCAACGAGGAAUUCCUAGUAGACGUAGUUCAUCAGACUGCAUCGAUUACGUCCCUGCCCUUUGUACACACCGCCCGUCGCUCCUACCGAUUGAAUGCUCAGGUGAGCCAUUCGGACUUUCAUCAUGCUGGUUUCCAGUUUUGAUGAAGGAAAGUCUUGCGAACCUUAUCAUUUAGAGGAAGGAGAAGUCGUAACA